rnacentral:rRNA from 1 species
UACGUAGGAUGCAAGCGUUAAUCGGAAUUACUGGGCGUAAAGCGUGCGCAGGCGGUUUUGUAAGUCUGUCGUGAAAGCCCCGGGCUCAACCUGGGAAUUGCGAUGGAGACUGCAAGGCUUGAAUCUGGCAGAGGGGGGUAGAAUUCCACGUGUAGCAGUGAAAUGCGUAGAGAUGUGGAGGAACACCGAUGGCGAAGGCAGCCCCCU